rnacentral:rRNA from 1 species
CUACGUGCCAGCAGCCGCGGUAAUACGGAAGGUCCAGGCGUUAUCCGGAUUUAUUGGGUUUAAAGGGUGCGUAGGCCGUUUGAUAAGCGUGCUGUGAAAUAUAGUGGCUCAACCUCUAUCGUGCAGCGCGAACUGUUGAACUUGAGUGCGUAGUAGGUAGGCGGAAUUCGUGGUGUAGCGGUGAAAUGCUUAGAUAUGACGAAGAACUCCGAUUGCGAAGGCAGCUGACGGGAGCGCAACUGACGCUUAAGCUCGAAGGUGCGGGUAUCGAACAGGAUUAGAUACCCUGGUAGUCCGCACAGUAAACGAUGGAUGCCCGCUGUUGGUACCUGGUAUCAGCGGCUAAGCGAAAGCAUUAAGCAUCCCACCUGGGGAGUACGCCGGCAACGGUGAAACUCAAAGGAAUUGACGGGGGCCCGCACAAGCGGAGGAACAUGUGGUUUAAUUCGAUGAUACGCGAGGAACCUUACCCGGGCUUGAA